GCCGGGAUAGCUCAGUUGGUAGAGCAGAGGACUGAAAAUCCUCGUGUCCGGAGUUCAAAUCUCCGUCCUGGCA
rfam:Microcoleus sp. PCC 7113, complete genome.